rnacentral:misc_RNA from 1 species
AAAGAAGCAGCCUAAGAGCCCGUAACACGGCCACUGGGCAUACCUUCCACCCUAUGUUUAUCACACUUUGUUGCUUUGGCAGGCCUGCCUCCGGGCUGCUGGCUCCGGCCGGCGAGCGCCUGCCAGAGGACCUAAACUCUGUUUGUCUGUAACGUCUGAGUACUAUAUAAUAGUUA